rnacentral:rRNA from 1 species
AUGAACGCUAGCUACAGGCUUAACACAUGCAAGUCGAGGGGCAGCAUGGUCUUAGCUUGCUAAGACUGAUGGCGACCGGCGCACGGGUGAGUAACACGUAUCCAACCUGCCGUCUACUCUUGGACAGCCUUCUGAAAGGAAGAUUAAUACAAGAUGGCAUCAUGAGUCCGCAUGUUCACAUGAUUAAAGGUAUUCCGGUAGACGAUGGGGAUGCGUUCCAUUAGAUAGUAGGCGGGGUAACGGCCCACCUAGUCUUCGAUGGAUAGGGGUUCUGAGAGGAAGGUCCCCCACAUUGGAACUGAGACACGGUCCAAACUCCUACGGGAGGCAGCAGUGAGGAAUAUUGGUUAAUGGGCGAGAGCCUGAACCAGCCAAGUAGCGUGAAGGAUGACUGCCCUAUGGGUUGUAAACUUCUUUUAUAAAGGAAUAAAGUCGGGUAUGGAUACCCGUUUGCAUGUACUUUAUGAAUAAGGAUCGGCUAACUCCGUGCCAGCAGCCGCGGUAAUACGGAGGAUCCGAGCGUUAUCCGGAUUUAUUGGGUUUAAAGGGAGCGUAGAUGGAUGUUUAAGUCAGUUGUGAAAGUUUGCGGCUCAACCGUAAAAUUGCAGUUGAUACUGGAUAUCUUGAGUGCAGUUGAGGCAGGCGGAAUUCGUGGUGUAGCGGUGAAAUGCUUAGAUAUCACGAAGAACUCCGAUUGCGAAGGCAGCCUGCUAAGCUGCAACUGACAUUGAGGCUCGAAAGUGUGGGUAUCAAACAGGAUUAGAUACCCUGGUAGUCCACACGGUAAACGAUGAAUACUCGCUGUUUGCGAUAUACGGCAAGCGGCCAAGCGAAAGCGUUAAGUAUUCCACCUGGGGAGUACGCCGGCAACGGUGAAACUCAAAGGAAUUGACGGGGGCCCGCACAAGCGGAGGAACAUGUGGUUUAAUUCGAUGAUACGCGAGGAACCUUACCCGGGCUUAAAUUGCAGAUGAAUUACGGUGAAAGCCGUAAGCCGCAAGGCAUCUGUGAAGGUGCUGCAUGGUUGUCGUCAGCUCGUGCCGUGAGGUGUCGGCUUAAGUGCCAUAACGAGCGCAACCCUUGUUGUCAGUUACUAACAGGUUCCGCUGAGGACUCUGACAAGACUGCCAUCGUAAGAUGUGAGGAAGGUGGGGAUGACGUCAAAUCAGCACGGCCCUUACGUCCGGGGCUACACACGUGUUACAAUGGGGGGUACAGAGGGCCGCUACCACGCGAGUGGAUGCCAAUCCCCAAAACCUCUCUCAGUUCGGACUGGAGUCUGCAACCCGACUCCACGAAGCUGGAUUCGCUAGUAAUCGCGCAUCAGCCACGGCGCGGUGAAUACGUUCCCGGGCCUUGUACACACCGCCCGUCAAGCCAUGGGAGCCGGGGGUACCUGAAGUGCGUAACCGCGAGGAGCGCCCUAGGGUAAAACUGGUGACUGGGGCU